ensembl:lncRNA
CGGCACCACAAUGACACCAUUUCCUCCAGCAGGACUCACUCCCAUUAAAGCCCUGUCCAAGUUCUGCGCUCACCUGCCCAGGCCGCUCGCUGUAACCAGGUGCGACCCCAGGCCGCUCGCCGUGACCAGGUGCGACCCCAGGCCGCUCGCCGUGACCAGGUGUGACUCGUGCAGCCUCUGCUGUCGUCCCCUGGGCUGGCCAGGCUUCCCGGAGCAGCCGCUGCCCUGCCAGCCACUCGAGGCCUGUGAGACCCGUCCUGGGCGCAGCGCUGGCCGCCAGGAAAACGCCGGCGAGAGCCAGCUCCCGGGCUCCCUGUGCUUAGAGACAUUGCUCCAAACUGGGCUCUGCUGCCUUUGAUCUGCUGCUGACCCUCGUGGCCCUGCUGUGCCCCGCACACCUUCAGUCCCGGCUGAGGGCACCAAGCUUCCUCUCUCUCCUGUGGAAACAGAACCUGGGAACAUGCCCAGCCUGAUGUGUACGGUACAUGAUGAUAGGUGACCCCCCACUGCAGGCCAAUGCUGCUGACGGCGCUCUUGGGAACCCGUCUGUCUCCCUGGCCUCCUCCCUGAACCUGCGAGCACACUGCACACCCAGGGCCGCGCUGUGUACUUGCCCAGCACAGCCUCAUGCCCAUCCAGGAGAGCCUGAAGCCGGUGCCAAUCUCCACGGCAGGGGAGUCACCAGCAGCCCGUCCUGCCUGGCAGAGGGUGAGGCCACCUCUCUGGUGCCAAAGUGGGAGUGAAGAGUGACUCACAGCUGUUCUCAGGUGUCCAGUUUGUGGCCAGUUCUGUGCACUGAAUAAAGG